UACGUAGGGGGCAAGCGUUAUCCGGAUUUACUGGGUGUAAAGGGAGCGUAGACGGCAGCACAAGUCUGGAGUGAAAUCCCAUGGCUCAACCACGGAACUGCAUUUAAAACUGGAUUGCUAGAGUACAGGAGGGGUAAGCGGAAUUUCUAGUGUAGCGGUGGAAUGCUUAGAUAUUAGGAAGAACACCAGAGGCGAAGGCGGCUUACUGGACGGUAACUGACGCUGAGGCUCGAAAGCGUGGGGAGCAAACAGG
rnacentral:rRNA from 1 species